rnacentral:rRNA from 1 species
AAAAAAGGUAAGCUACUAAGAGCGAAUGGUGGAUGCCUUGACUGGUAAAGGCGAUGAAGGACGUACUAGACUGCGAUAAGCUACGGGGAGCUGUCAAGAAGCUUUGAUCCGUAGAUUUCCGAAUGGGGCAACCCAAUGUAUAGAGAUAUACAUUACCUAUAUAGGAGCGAACGAGGGGAAUUGAAACAUCUUAGUACCCUCAGGAAAAGAAAUCAAUAGAGAUUGCGUCAGUAGCGGCGAGCGAAAGCGCAAGAGGGCAAACCCAGUGCUUGCACUGGGGGUUGUAGGACUGCAAUGUGCAAGAGGUAAGUUUAGCAGAACAUUCUGGAAAGUAUAACCAUAGAGGGUGAUAGUCCCGUAUGCGAAAAACAAACCUUAGCUAGCAGUAUCCUGAGUAGGGCGGGACACGAGGAAUCCUGUCUGAAUCUGGGUCGACCACGAUCCAACCCUAAAUACUAAUACCAGAUCGAUAGUGCACAAGUACCGUGAGGGAAAGGUGAAAAGAACUGAGGUGAUCAGAGUGAAAUAGAACCUGAAACCAUUUGCUUACAAUCAUUCAGAGCCCUAUGUAGCAAUACAGGGUGAUGGACUGCCUUUUGCAUAAUGAGCCUGCGAGUUGUGGUGUCUGGCAAGGUUAAGCAAACGCGAAGCCGUAGCGAAAGCGAGUCUGAAUAGGGCGCUUAGUCAGAUGCUGCAGACCCGAAACGAAGUGAUCUAUCCAUGAGCAAGUUGAAGCUAGUGUAAGAACUAGUGGAGGACUGAACCCAUAGGCGUUGAAAAGCCCCGGGAUGACUUGUGGAUAGGGGUGAAAGGCCAAUCAAACUUCGUGAUAGCUGGUUCUCUCCGAAAUAUAUUUAGGUAUAGCGUUGUGUCGUAAUAUAAGGGGGUAGAGCACUGAAUGGGCUAGGGCAUACACCAAUGUACCAAACCCUAUCAAACUCCGAAUACCUUAUAUGUAAUCACAGCAGUCAGGCGGCGAGUGAUAAAAUCCGUCGUCAAGAGGGAAACAACCCAGACUACCAGCUAAGGUCCCUAAAUCUUACUUAAGUGGAAAACGAUGUGAAGUUACUUAAACAACCAGGAGGUUGGCUUAGAAGCAGCCAUCCUUUAAAGAAAGCGUAAUAGCUCACUGGUCUAGUGAUUUUGCGCGGAAAAUAUAACGGGGCUAAAGUAAGUACCGAAGCUGUAGACUUGCGCACAACUUAGAUUAUUUAAGUUUAGAAUAUGAGAAACUAAGUUAUAUGUUUAGUUAUAUUUUUACUGAUUUUUAUAGAGUAAAGAUAGAAAUAAAACUUAGUAAAAUCAGUAAAAAUAUUCUUAGACUAAAGUUAAGUAGUUUAAGUUGUGUGCAAGUGGUAGGAGAGCGUUCUAUUUGCGUCGAAGGUAUACCGGUAAGGAGUGCUGGAGCGAAUAGAAGUGAGCAUGCAGGCAUGAGUAGCGAUAAUUAAUGUGAGAAUCAUUAACGCCGUAAACCCAAGGUUUCCUACGCGAUGCUCGUCAUCGUAGGGUUAGUCGGGUCCUAAGUCGAGUCCGAAAGGGGUAGACGAUGGCAAAUUGGUUAAUAUUCCAAUACCAACAUUAGUGUGCGAUGGAAGGACGCUUAGGGCUAAGGGGGCUAGCGGAUGGAAGUGCUAGUCUAAGGUCGUAGGAGGUUAUACAGGCAAAUCCGUAUAACAAUACUCCGAGAACUGAAAGGCUUUUUGAAGUCUUCGGAUGGAUAGAAGAACCCCUGAUGCCAUCGAGCCAAGAAAAGUUUCUAAGUUUAGCUAAUGUUGCCCGUACCGUAAACCGACACAGGUGGGUGGGAUGAGUAUUCUAAGGCGCGUGGAAGAACUCUCUUUAAGGAACUCUGCAAAAUAGCACCGUA